AUGGUGAUUGGUGCAGUUUGGAUGAGUUGGGGCCUCUUUCCAAACUCAGAGUUCUUGAAUAAACUCGGAGAUGAUGGGUUGGUCAAAGAGAAGGAAGGUGUCUCUGAGAAAGAGCAACAACGAAUUGAGAAGGUUUUUGAUAAGCUCAGCCCUCCACCUGGUAUAGAAAUACUUGGAAUCAAGGGGUAUUUUGGCCGGCAACUCCCGAGCUGGAUGAUGUCCACAUCAAUGGUGCCCCUCGACAACUUGAAGACUAUAUUUUUUGAAGAUCUGGCUUGUUGCACAAAACUUCCCAAUGCGUUGUGCCAACUCCCUAGUCUGCAGGCUCUACAGGUCUCUCGUGCUCCAUGCAUCAAACAUGUGGGGACUGGAUUCUUGCAGGCGGCAUCAGCUUCAUUUCCGAGCUUAAAUGCAAUGAUCUUGGACGGAAUGGUGGAAUGGGAGGAGUGGGAGUGGGAGGAGCAAGUACAAGCCAUGCAUCGUUUGGAGAAACUCGUGCUCAUUAAAUGCAGACUGAGGCAUAUUCCUCAAGGCCUUGCCUCCAAUGCAAGGGCUUUGAAAAUAUUAUUUAUGUACGUGAAGCAAAAAAUACAUGUCCACUUUGGUUUAUGUAUUUAUCCUUUUUAUACAACACAUAUAAAUACAAAUAUUGAAGAAAAUUCGUGCACAUAUACUGUACACAUAAAAACAAUUCCAGAACAUUCUGCGGUAUGA
rnacentral:rRNA from 1 species